rnacentral:misc_RNA from 1 species
GAUGAAGAACGCAGCGAAAUGCGAUAAGUAAUGUGAAUUGCAGAAUUCAGUGAAUCAUCGAAUCUUUGAACGCACAUUGCGCCCCCUGGUAUUCCGGGGGGCAUGCCUGUCCGAGCGUCAUUACAACCCUCAAGCUCAGCUUGGUGUUGGGCCCCGCCGCCCCGGUGGGCCCUAAAGUCAGUGGCGGUGCCGUCCGGCUCCGAGCGUAGUAAUUCUUCUCGCUCUGGAGGUCCGGUCGUGUGCUCGCCAGCAACCCCCAAUUUUUUUCAGGUUGACCUCGGAUCAGGUAGGGAUACCCGCUGAACUUAAGCAUAUCAAUAAGCGGAGGA